UCAGAUUAGGCAGGACCAGGCUGUGCCACUAAAAAUAAAAAGGCUGCUGGCACUUAAUGAGCAGAACUCAGCAGGCAUUUUCCCGCCGACACCCGUUUUGUGGCUUUGGCGCGGAAACAGCGGGUUCGCGCGGCCGCCAGCGCGGGCUUUUCAGAACCGCGCGCUUCGCGGGGUUCCGCCCCCGGCUUCGCAGACCAAUCAGAAGGCGCGGGUGACCACGUCAGCCAAUGAGACGACGGGGCCGGAGCCCCGCCAAGCCCCGCCAAGCCCCGAAGCGGGAGGGCUGGGGCCCAGUUCCCGCCACCGGCUCACCUGGUGAGGUUCACGCCCAUGGCCAGGUUGCGGUCGCAGCGGUACGUGUCGAAGCCUUCGGAACGCAGAGUGAGCUGCACCAAGGAGACGUGCGACGAGUCCAUGCUCUGCAGGUUCACGCCGCCCGAGCUGAUGUCCCAGCAGGCCUCAUUGAUGAGGUCUUUGAGAGCCUCCAAUACCUUCUUCAGGAUGGAGCCCUGGACCAGACGAGCCUCGAACAUCGUGGCGGAGUCGCGACGACUAGAUGCUAGAGACUGUGACAGGAGCGAGGUCUAGCCGCUAAGGUCUCUCGGGUCGCGAUGCAGGAGUCGCAGCGAGGACCUAGAGGGAAGCACUACCAGCCCGCUGCGCCCGCAACCGUUUAAUGCUGCCGCGUCCUCGGCGCGCGCUCUUCCCGUGCGCGAGGGUCGUGGCGUCACCGCGACGCCCCACCCACCUCCCCUUCAGGACCAAUCGCAUCCGUGUUCCGCGCAAGGCCCGCCCCUGCUGCGUGCACAGGGGCGGGGCCGCGGCGUGCGAGCGUGGGAGGCGUAGGGCAUCAUGGGAUCAGCGUAGGCUGUCGUCAAGGCCCAGCUUUGUGGCUGCAGGGUGGCUGCUGUUUCGUUCCUAAGACGUUUCCGCGCCACGGAAAUGAAAGUCACAUGCACACUGUGUGCGGCGGCCCUCCUGAAGCCGAAGCGUAUACCUGCUUCAGGCACUACAGAACGCUUUCCUUUUACUACUGCCUGGUGUAUGGAAGUCAGAGGAAAUCUUUCAAGAGUCGGUUCGUUCCUCCACUAUGUAGAUCCCACGAUCGAACUCAGGUUGCCAGGGUUGGUGAACAGAAUGACCUGCACAAGGGCUGAGACAAUUGAAAACUCCCAGCUCCAAGGCAGUCGUUGCCCUUAGCAACCUGACUACAAAAGCAUACACCUGUCAACUGUAACGGAUGCAUUUGAAAAGCAGAGGGCUAGUUACCAUGCAUGCUUCUGGAAGAAGUCCUGCUUACUUGCCUGCUCACCUCUUCCUAUGGUUCUAGAAUAUAAAAAUGAGAAUGCAAACUGGA